GCGAAGCUGGCGGCGUGCUUACACAUGCAACUCGAGCGAGAACCAGGGCUUCGGCCCUGGUUUCACAGCGGCGAACGGGUGAGUAACACGUGGAUAACCUGCCCUCGGCACCGGGAUAGCCCGAGGAAACUCGGAUUAAUACCGGAUAGCCUUUCCGACUCUCGGGUCGGUUCGAAAAGGUAGCUUCGGCCUCUGGCCGGGGAUGGGUCCGCGGCGGAUUAGCUUGUUGGUGGGGUAAUGGCCUACCAAGGCUCCGAUCCGUAGCUGGUCUGAGAGGACGAUCAGCCACACUGGGACUGAGACACGGCCCAGACUCCUACGGGAGGCAGCAGUGGGGAAUCUUGCGCAAUGGACGAAAGUCUGACGCAGCGACGCCGCGUGCGGGAGGAAGCUCUUCGGGGUGUAAACCGCUGUUGCCCGGAACGAAACGCCAGAUUCGUCUGGCUUGACGGUACCGGGUGAGGAAGCGCCGGCUAACUCUGUGCCAGCAGCCGCGGUAAUACAGAAGGCGCGAGCGUUGUCCGGAAUCACUGGGCGUAAAGGGCGCGUAGGUGGCCACUAUAAGGCCGCGGUGAAAGUUCGGGGCUCAACCCUGAAUCUGCCGCGGCGACUGUAAGGCUAAGGCACCGUAAAGGCCAAAUGGAAAUUCCAGGUGUAGCGGUGGAAUGCGUAAAGAUCCG
rnacentral:rRNA from 1 species